rnacentral:rRNA from 1 species
UACGAGGGGGGCGAGCGUUGUUCGGAAUUAUUGGGCGUAAAGGGUGCGUAGGCGGUUUGGUAAGUCUGAUGUGAAAUCUAUGGGCUCAACUCAUAGUCUGCAUCGGAAACUGCCGGGCUUGAGUGUGGGAGAGGUGAGUGGAAUUCCUGGUGUAGCGGUGAAAUGCGUAGAUAUCAGGAGGAACACCUGUGGCGAAAGCGGCUCACUGGACCAUAACUGACGCUGAUGCACGAAGGCUAGGGGAGCAAACAGG